GCCGGGAUGGCCGAAUGGCAAAGCGCACGCCUGGAAAGCGUGUCCCCUUUGGGGUUCUGGGUUCAAAUCCCAGUCCCGGCG
rnacentral:tRNA from 2 species